rnacentral:rRNA from 1 species
AGUGAACGCUGGCGGUAGGCCUAACACAUGCAAGUCGAACGGCAGCACAGUAAGAGCUUGCUCUUACGGGUGGCGAGUGGCGGACGGGUGAGGAAUACAUCGGAAUCUACUUUUUCGUGGGGGAUAACGUAGGGAAACUUACGCUAAUACCGCAUACGACCUACGGGUGAAAGCAGGGGAUCUUCGGACCUUGCGCGAUUGAAUGAGCCGAUGUCGGAUUAGCUAGUUGGCGGGGUAAAGGCCCACCAAGGCGACGAUCCGUAGCUGGUCUGAGAGGAUGAUCAGCCACACGGGAACUGAGAAACGGUCAAGCCCCCUAGGGGAGGCAGCAGUGGGGAAUAUUGGACAAUGGGCGAAAGCCUGACCCAGCCAUACCGCGUGGGUGAAGAAGGCCUUCGGGUUGUAAAGCCCUUUUGUUGGGAAAGAAAAGCAGCAGGUUAAUACCCCGCUGUUCUGACGGUACCCAAAGAAUAGCACCGGCUAACUUCGUG